rnacentral:rRNA from 1 species
GACGAACGCUGGCGGCGUGCCUAAUACAUGCAAGUUGAGCGCUGAAGGUUGGUACUUGUACCAACUGGAUGAGCAGCGAACGGGUGAGUAACGCGUGGGGAAUCUGCCUUUGAGCGGGGGACAACAUUUGGAAACGAAUGCUAAUACCGCAUAAAAACUUUAAACACAAGUUUUAAGUUUGAAAGAUGCAAUUGCAUCACUCAAAGAUGAUCCCGCGUUGCAUUAGCUAGUUGGUGAGGUAAAGGCUCACCAAGGCGAUGAUACAUAGCCGACCUGAGAGGGUGAUCGGCCACAUUGGGACUGAGACACGGCCCAAACUCCUACGGGAGGCAGCAGUAGGGAAUCUUCGGCAAUGGACGAAAGUCUGACCGAGCAACGCCGCGUGAGUGAAGAAGGUUGUCGGAUCGGAAAACUCGGUUGGUAGAGAAGAACGUUGGUGAGAGUGGAAAGCUCAUCAAGUGACGGUAACUACCCAGAAAGGGACGGCUAACUACGUG